AAGGCUGGUGAAACGUCCUUCUGGGACAGCUUAGGGGUGCCUGAGGAGAGGAGAACAUCCUUGGGAAGGGCCAGAUCUCCACUGUUACUGCUCCUUUCUACACUGUUAGUGAUGUGGUUUAGCUUGUCAGUAAAUGUAAUCUCCUCGAUGGCAGCAAGCUGAGGAACGACCAUUGGAUGUGCCGAGUGAGUCAUUUCCUCCUCCCGGUUGCUUGACGCUUUCUCCACCUGAUGGGCUUUAUAACGUUUUUGUCUCCAUUUCAUUUCCAGGUUUAACCGACAUGGAAACCAUGUUGCUGCUUCCAGUCCUUCUUGCAACUUCAUUGUGGUCCCGUGGAGACGCGCAGGCAGUGCCAGUGCAAACCCCAGCGCUGCAGAGGAAGGUGAAGGGCAGCUCUGCCACCAUGGAGUGCAAAAUGAGCACCAACGUCUACGUGCACUGGUACAAGCACCUUCCCGGAGAGCCCCCAAAGAGGAUCCUGUACGUGUCGGGACAGACACCUUAUUUUGAUGACAGCGGUGAUAGAAGCAGAGUUCAAGUCUGGAAGCAUCCUACUGAGCUGCUUUAUCGUCUCACGAUAGAUGUUUUAACCCCAAGGGAUUCUGGCACUUACUACUGUGCGUAUUGGAGGUAUCAAGGCAUCACAGCCUCAGAGGCGCAAAGACGAGCCGUACAAAAAGGCAUUUUGCACUCUGAACCACAAGCUCUGAACUCUGCCAAAAAUGCAGAUACUUCCCUAUUCCACCCACCUCUCGUGAUUUUCUGCAGCCGGGUAGGAAAAACAGCAUUGUACCGUGACAACUGUGACAAGUAUCAUGCUAAUAAGGAGUAUUAUCAUUGCAGUACUCACAGCUAUCUGUACCAUCCAGAACGUGGGGAGUCCCAGUCACUUCAGGGUAAAUAG